rnacentral:rRNA from 1 species
GAUGAACGCUGGCGGCGUGCCUAAUACAUGCAAGUCGAGCGAACAGACGAGGAGCUUGCUCCUCUGACGUUAGCGGCGGACGGGUGAGUAACACGUGGAUAACCUACCUAUAAGACUGGGAUAACUUCGGGACACCGGAGCUAAUACCGGAUAAUAUAUUGAACCGCAUGGUUCAAUAGUGAAAGACGGUUUUGCUGUCACUUAUAGAUGGAUCCGCGCCGCAUUAGCUAGUUGGUAAGGUAACGGCUUACCAAGGCGACGAUGCGUAGCCGACCUGAGAGGGUGAUCGGCGCCACUGGAACUGAGACACGGUCCAUACUCCUACGGGAGGCAGCAGUAGGGAAUCUUCCGCAAUGGGCGAAAGCCUGACGGAGCAACGCCGCGUGAGUGAUGAAGGUCUUCGGAUCGUAAAACUCUGUUAUGAGGGAAGAACAAAUGUGUAAGGAACUAUGCACGUCGUGACGGUACCUAAUCAGAAAGCCACGGCUAACUACGUG